AUCUAGCACCUAUAGAACUGAAAUCCUUUUGUGCCGGGGUUCGGCACAAAAGAUUGUAAGGGAUAGCGGGACAGGUG
rnacentral:sRNA from 1 species